rnacentral:rRNA from 1 species
AUUGAACGCUGGCGGCAUGCCUUACACAUGCAAGUCGAACGGUAACAGGUCUUCGGAUGCUGACGAGUGGCGAACGGGUGAGUAAUACAUCGGAACGUGCCUAGUAGUGGGGGAUAACUACUCGAAAGAGUGGCUAAUACCGCAUGAGAUCUACGGAUGAAAGCAGGGGAUCGCAAGACCUUGUGCUACUAGAGCGGCCGAUGGCAGAUUAGGUAGUUGGUGGGAUAAAAGCUUACCAAGCCGACGAUCCGUAGCUGGUCUGAGAGGACGAUCAGCCACAAGGGGACUGAGACUCUGCCCAGACUCCUACGGGAGGCAGCUGUGGGGAAUUUUGGACAAUGGGCGCAAGCCUGAUCCAGCAAUGCCGCGUGCAGGAUGAAGGCCUUCGGGUUGUAAACUGCUUUUGUACGGAACGAAAAGCCCUGGGUUAAUACCCUGGGGUCAUGACGGUACCGUAAGAAUAAGCACCGGCUAACUACGUGCCAGCCGCCGCGGUAAAAC